GCACUGACUGGACUGUGGUUCUCCAGGAUGUCUGGCAGGGGGGAGUCUUCCCCAGCCUUACCUGCAGGUAGCAGAGGUCCCUUGCAUGGGACCAUCAUUGUAUGCAAGGCAGAUGCUCUACCACCACCCAUCCCUAUCUAUGGCCUUUCAAAGUUACAGGAACCUUAUUCAAGUCCUUGGUUUGAAUGGAAAGUAUGAAAUCUGGAGUCUGCUAAUUUCUCUAAUCUUUUUAAAAAGCACAUUUUGCUAUUUGAAAACCUUAGUGAAUCUGUGCUGCAGUUUCGGAAACCAGGAGGACUUUCCACGCUUAAGAGUCUAGAUCUGGGCUGGAAUAAUUGCUUGAAUUCAAAGACAUGAUUGUCGGCAGACAGUAAAGGUCAGACCUUCCAAGUGUCCCUAUUUUCCAGGGACGUCCCUGAUUUAGAGAAGCCAUCCCAGUUUCUGAUUUGAUCCUGGAAUGUCCCACUUUUGCUUAGGAUGUCUCUAUUUUCAUUGGAGGAAUGUUGGAUGGUAUGGAGUUAUCCCCAAGCCAUGUGAAGGCAAUCCUGUGUAGGGAAAUUUUUUAAUAUUUAAUGUUUUAUUAUGGUUCUAUAUAUGUUGGAAGCUGCCCAGAGUAGCUGGGGCAACCCAGUAAGAUGUGUGGGGUCUAAAUAGUAAUGGGAUGUCCCUAUUUUCAUCGGAGAGUAUUAAAGGUUGAUGUUGUGCUCUUGGUAGGGGAAGAAACAAUACAAAACUUUUAUUUUUAACAGCACUCAUUGUCCUUCUUUGGCAUCCAGCAAAUGGGAAGGACAAAUAUUAAUAGAACUAUUUAUCCAAAGCCAGCAAGGCAGCUACUGCUAAACUCAGUCCUGCUUCAGUAAUCAACAGGAUACAUACAGGAAUCCCAGCAUAGGUCUCAUGGGAGAAAUAACACUAAUCAAGAACUGGCAAUCUCAUAUAUUGGCAGUUGCCAUACAAUUCUUGUAGAAAAUGCUGGAUGGGAGCGGUGGAGAGGAGAUCAUUAUGAAAUAUCAGGCACCAUGGAGUCCUCUCAAGAGUCACAGACAGCUGGGGAGAAUGUCAGGUUUUUUGGAUUCCAAAUAUGGUACUUUCAGAAAUAGAUGGCUUGAGUGUGGGUCAAUGUGACCCAGGUUACAGCCUGACACUGUCAUUGCUGGAGAGAAUGAGAUUUCAUCAGCUUGAAGACAGUACCGGUAAUUGCAGAGCAGGGUCAAUGGAAAAAUGAAGCAAGAGAAGUUACCGGAAGAGUACAGAGCCAUAUUUUUCUAUGUUGGUGGGAAGGGACUGAUUUAUUGCCUGCCUGAUGGACAACAUUUGGAGAUAACUGCUUUCUGGUCAGAAGUAUUUUGAUUUAAAAAAACACACACAAAACCCCAAAAUUAAAGCAACAAAGUCCCCCCCCCUUUGUAUAAAAUAAUCAACCUGACGCAUAAUCAACCUGUUUUAUAGGAAGAGGGGAGAAAUAAGCAGAAUGACAUAUUUUUGAACUCAGUUAACAAACAAAAAGGUAAGUGCAGGGCCCUAUAUUACUGCCCCCACUCCUGGCCAAGGUGAACGCUUUCGGACCAUCCCUCCGUUCUCAGAUUACCUUUAUUCAGGGAGGUGGUGAGUCUGUGUGAUUUCAGCUCCCAUCAACCUAGCAGUGGUCAAGGAAGGUGGCAGCUGUAGUCCAGCAACAUCUAGGGGACCACAGGUUCCCCAUCUGUUUUACCUGCAUGUGAAAUCUGCAUGUCACGGUCCCGUUAAAGGUGAAAGAGAGGACAAGUUGCAACCUUGGGGCUAAAGCUGCCAACUUUUGCAAUGGCUUUCGUGCCUUUCAUGACUGCUUGUUCAGCCGAGCUAGGGGGUAAUAAAGUUCAUUGCUGUGCCAAUAUAAAGCUUCAUGUGAUCUUGCUUUUAUGGGCACAGAAGAUGACAGGUUUUCCCUCGACUCUCAUUUAGUUGGUAACCCAACCCAUGGGCUUUACAAUUUCCCCUGUAACUUUCAUGUUAUAAGGAUGAAAUUACGGUAGUUGUUUAAACUCAAAGGUAUCUCUGGACUUCAGCCCCCUUAAAUUUAAUCCUCUGUUUAUACAGUGUGUGCCUGUUUAAGGAUACAUCUUGCCGAUACUUCUCUUUGCAUGAUGGAUUAGCAGAUGUAUGUUGUUGCUACUCCCAUUUGUGGCAGUUGAUGACAUCUUAUGUUGACUUGAUUUGUGAUCACCUCCACAUGGAGUGUCUGGGUAACACAUUUGCCUUUUAUUGUCCAAAUGGGAAAGAGGCAUACCUGUUUUCACUAUGCACAAAGAAUCAGCCUGGCAAGCGUGUGAUGCAUCCAUUUCCUCUAGAAAGUUACUAAAACAAUUCAUGAAUGGAAUAGGAAAGUAAGAGCAAGGACACCACCUUUUUCUGACAGGUUUGUUUUGACUUUUGCAAUGGAUAGUUUCCUGGACACAGGGAGCAAUGAGGCAGAAUGGGUAGAGAAACAGAUAGAGAAGAUGCUCCAUUUGCCAACCUGGUGCCCUUCAGAUGUUUUGGAUUACUACGACUCCCAUCUAUCCCUGCUAGCAUGGCCAUGUUGGCUAAAGCUGAUGGGAGUUGUAGAUCAAAACAUCUGGAGGGCACCAGAUUGGUAAAGACUGCUCUGCAUAGCUGUCAACAUUUCCCUUUUUCAAAGGGAAAUUCCCUUAUUCCGAAUAGGAUUCCUCACAAGAAAAGGGAAAAGUUGACAGCUAUGCUGCUCUGGUUUGCUUUCAGCUCCUGGCUAGACUCUUAUCUGCUCACUGUUUAUCCAUGCCAGGAGAAAUGGCAUGGCAACCCUAACUGGCAGACAGAAAAUUAAUUUUAAAGGAAUAGUGCAAUAUCAUUUGCCUGAGACGGAAAGAUCAUUUCAUUGUUUGUAUCUUUUCGUUGAGCAGUUAGACAUUUCUCUGAGCAAAAAAAGAUAUAUUUCCAGCUCAUGCAAAGGAAGGACUCCAUGCAGUGGUUGUAGCUGUUAUUUAAGUCAGUGCUUUUUUUUUCUUUUAAAAAAAUGUUUAGGGGUACUCUCAUUUUGACUCAAGAAAAUCACCAUUUUGUAGUUCAAAUCGGAAAAAUUAAUACAGUAAAUGGACAAAAGUACAAAGAUUCACAAAUAUUUUAGGGGUAUGUGUACCCCUGCAUCCCCCCAGAAAAAAAAGCACUGAUUUACAUAGCCUCAUCUAUGUACAUGGCCCUGAGAAACUCUCCUGCUAAAAUUGGACAGAGGGGGAGGCAGCAGAGGUGGUGAAGAAAGGUACUGCAGGAAAGGCAGAGGCAAGAGUAAGGAUGGAUAUGCAGAACUCUAAACAUACAAUAGGCUUUGUUUCUGUAGGUGAGGAAUAAAGGCUGAGCCAAACCCCGUGUGGAAGACAUGGUUUUUGAGGAAGGAUUUGAUGGAAGAGUGGCACCAUGUUAGAUGCAAUUUUGAAGGCACUCAAGAUAUAACUUCAAAGCAGAGAGUCAGUACAGUGGUACCUCGGGUUAAGUACUUAAUUCGUUCCAGAGGUCCGUACUUAACCUGAAACUGUUCUUAACCUGAAGCACCACUUUAGCUAAUGGGGCCUCCUGCUGCUGCCGCGCCGCCGGAGCACAAUUUCUGUUCUCAUCCUGAAGCAAAGUUCUUAAUCCGAGGUAAUAUUUCUGGGUUAGCGGAGUCUGUAACCUGAAGCGUAUGUAACCUGAAGCGUAUGUAACCUGAGGUACCACUGUAUAUCAUGGCUUGCUUUAAUUACAAGUGGGAAAUGUAAAUCUCACUCUCCAAGACUGGGAUCCUCUGAUGCACUCUCAAGGAGCAGUGCCUCUGGUGGGUCUAUUUAUUAGUGCAAAGGGAGCCAAAUUGCAUGAUGGCGUGACACGCACUUUACAAUGAAAAAUGUUCUCCGGCUGCAUUGUGCAUUUCAAGCCAAGCAUUUGACCUUUUUCUGAACAAGGCAGAUGCUUCCUUAAAAAGUAGCAUUCCUUGUGCACCAAUCAAUUGCAUUUUAGAUCACAUAAACUAUCAUCAAAGGAGAUGUAGGAUUCUUCUGAGAUUUAGAUAAAUAUAGCAUACAGUGAGAAAUAAGCUCUGUUAGUCUCCCAUGUGUUAGGAUCCGACAUUUGUGAAGUAUUGCUAACAAGGUCUUCAGUGUCGUUGACGUGACAAACUGCAAUCGCUGCCCCAGUUUUGAGCUCACUUGCACUGUAACUAUAAGGAGACAUGGCUUAGAGGUAUAGAAAGAUAACUAUGCCCUGGGCUCGCAGAAAUUCUCUAGAUGCCUGCAGCAUUAGCUUAGGCAUCUGAUAAUGGUGAAGCUCUACAGACUUGCCAGAGUUGAUCAGGAAGGCGUUCCAGCAGAAGGGUUUAAAAUACUUGAUAUGCACAGCUGUGCGAAGCAGAACAAGGCAAUGUCAAAUUUAUCCUAACAGAUAAUAUAUAAAUAUGAAUGGCAGUCAUGUAUCAGUUGCCACAUCCAAAUCUUCAAUGAGCUUCUGUACUUUCUAAAGUUGCAUAGGGCUAAAAGGGGGUCAGGGAAUGUCCAUGUAAGGCUUCUUCUAUCUACAAAGGUCUCUCUCUCUCUCUCUCUCUCUCUCUCUCUCUCUCUCUCUCUCUCUCUCUCUCACACACACACACACACACACACACACACACACCCAGAAUCCUGCUGUGAAAAUCUAGAGUCAAGCUCUAGUUUGGAUCUAGCUGGGUUAAGCUGACCCAAGUUUUGAAUUACUCAGGACUGGAGCCAGGUGACAUGAUUUUGACUUGGGUGUUGCUGAGAUUUUCAAGCAACCGAUGCAUUUCAUGGGGUUAAAAAACACACCCAACCUUCUGAUGUCUAAGACCAGCAGUGGUCAACAUUCUCUAGUCUAGACAGUUAGGAAUAAUAAUAAUAAUAAUAAUAAUAAUAAUAAUAAUAAUAAUUUAUUUAUACUUCACCCAUCUGGCUGAGUUUCCCCAGCCACUCUGGGAGGCUCCCAGUCGAGUGUUAAAAACAAUACAGCAUUAAAUAUUAAAAACUUCCCUAAACAGGGCUGCCUUCAGAUGUCUUUUAAAGAUAAGAUAGCUGCUUAUUUCCUUCACAUCUGAUGGGAGGGUGUUCCACAGGGUGGGCGCCACUACCGAGAAGGCCCUCUGUCUGGUUCCCUGUAACCUCACUUCUUGCAAUGAGGGAACUGCCAGAAGGCCCUCGGCGCUGGAUCUCAGUGUCCGGGCAGAAUGAUGGGGGUGGAGACGCUCCUUCAGGUAUACUGGACUGAGGCUGUUUAGGGCUUUAAAGGUCAGCACCAACACUUUGAAUUGUGCUCGGAAACGUACUGGGAGUCAAUGCAGAUCUCUGCAUUAUAACACUAUACAUUGGCUCUUGUGCUUUUAAGUCACGUCCAAAGAUGUAGGAACCCCUUUGAGACUGGCAACAUAACUCUGGAUGUAGGCAACAGCCCAAUUCCAUACAUUAGCAUGAGCCCCUUCCCAAUCUGCUCUGGUAACAUAUGAAAAAGAAGCUAUAGAUGCAAUCUUCUUGAUGCAUAUAAUCCAAAAAAGGUUGCCACACAUUAAAGAAAAGAUGAGGAUGAAUGUUUCCUUUGGUCGCACAUAUCUGACAGGGCAGUUUUUCAGCCAAGGCUAUUGUCCAUGUUCUAGAGCAACAUGCUUCAAUGUUCAAGCCCAAAGCAGCACAUCAAUGCACGACUGUUUCCAUACAUGCUGCUGCAAUGAGAAAUAUUAACAGUUUAUGUGUAAUUGGUGGAGCAGAUAUGUCCAUUAGUCCAAGUAAAGCAAAUUGAGGGGAAGGUUGUAAACAUUUUGUAUGUCAAACUUAAUUCUUUGAAUACCAAAACCCCAAAUGGGUAAACAGAUUUGCAAAACCACCAUGUAUGUAUGUAUGUAUGUAUGUAUGUAUGUAAGAUCCAGUCCCCCCACAUCCCCUCCAACAAGUAGAUGUGGCUCCUGAUAUCAUAUGGAAUAUUUGCAAGCGGAAAAAGGUAUCCCCUUUGUAGAUGUUUCAGAGAUGAUUCCUUUAACUGAGCUGAUCUCAUGGUAAUAUGUGGAAAGAAUUCUUGGAUGGAAUUGAGAGAAUUUGAUUAGAUAUUUUCAAGCAAACUAGUCAAUGUGUUCUGAGUUAUGUUGUGGCCUGUGUGAUGUGAAAAAUGGAGAUUAAUAAAAACAAUUUUAAAAAGAAGUUAUGUGGGAGGGUGAAAUUUUGCAGGAAACUUUCAGGCUAGCAUAUUGAUUUAAAAUUGUAGACCCAUGCACAAUUAAAAAUAUGUGAAUUAACCGUGCAUAUUUCUUAACAUAGUAGCUUUUCUAUACUGUUGGAAUAUCUGCAAGUAGCUCUGGAAGUCUAGAUGAAUUUUCUUUUUUUUAAGAGAAAAGAAGCUGAAGAGAAGGAUGAAAUGCUUAAUGUGCCUGUGCCUGCUCACUAAGGUCUAGUGUAGUGGAGACGCCCUUCUCUGAUUCCCACCUAUGACUGGGACAAGAAAUAGGGUCUUCUCUGCAGCCACCAGCGUUAUUGAACACCUUGCCUUGUGAGGUUUGGAUGGCAACGUCUUUGAUUGCCUUUUGCUAGCCCUUUUAAAAUUCAAGCAACCUUUUGUCAGAC